rnacentral:rRNA from 1 species
AACGUAGGAGACAAACGUUAUCCGGAGUUACUGGGCGUAAAGGGCGUGUAGGUGGUUUCGUAAGUCUGGCGUGAAAUUUUUCGGCUUAACCGGGAAAGGUCGUCGGAUACUGCGGAGCUAGAGGACGGUAGAGGCGUGUGGAAUUCCGGGCGUAGUGGUGAAAUGCGUAGAGAUCCGGAGGAACACCAGUGGCGAAGGCGACACGCUGGGCCGUACCUGACACUGAUGCGCGACAGCAUGGGGAGCAAACAGG